ACCAGACUCCUACGGGAGGCAGCAGUGGGGAAUAUUGCACAAUGGGGGAAACCCUGAUGCAGCAACGCCGCGUGAGUGAAGAAGUAUUUCGGUAUGUAAAGCUCUAUCAGCAGGGAAGAAGAAGGACGGUACCUGACUAAGAAGCCCCGGCUAACUACGUGCCAGCAGCCGCGGUAAUACGUAGGGGGCGAGCGUUAUCCGGAUUUACUGGGUGUAAAGGGAGCGUAGACGGUUAAUCAAGUCUGAAGUGAAAGCCCGCGGCUCAACUGCGGAACGGCUUUGGAAACUGAGUAACUGGAGUGCUGGAGGGGCAGGCGGAAUUCCUGGUGUAGCGGUGAAAUGCGUAGAUAUCAGGAGGAACACCGGUGGCGAAGGCGGCCUGCUGGACAGUAACUGACGUUGAGGCUCGAAAGCGUGGGGAGCAAACAGGAUUAGAUACCCUAGUAUA
rnacentral:rRNA from 1 species